UACGUAGGUGGCAAGCGUUAUCCGGAUUUACUGGGUGUAAAGGGCGUGUAGGCGGGACUGCAAGUCAGAUGUGAAAACCACGGGCUCAACCUGUGGCCUGCAUUUGAAACUGUAGUUCUUGAGUACUGGAGAGGCAGACGGUAUUCCUAGUGUAGCGGUGAAAUGCGUAGAUAUUAGGAGGAACACCAGUGGCGAAGGCGGUCUGCUGGACAGCAACUGACGCUGAGGCGCGAAAGCGUGGGGAGCAAACAGG
rnacentral:rRNA from 1 species